rnacentral:rRNA from 1 species
UUAUGUUUUAGUGGAAGGUUCUGGAAAGUACCGCGAUACAGGGUGAUAGCCCCGUACACGAAAAGGCAUUUAGAGUGAAAUCGAGUAGGUCGGGACACGUGUUAUCUUGACUGAAGAUGGGGGGCCCAUCCUCCAAGGCUAAAUACUCCCUACUGACCGAUAGUGAACCAGUACCGUGAGGGAAAGGUGAAAAGUACCCCGACGAGGGGAGUGAAAUAGUACCUGAAACCGAAUGCUUACAAACAGUUGGAGCCCGUAAGGGUGACAGCGUACCUUUUGUAUAAUGGGUCAGCGACUUAAUUUAGCGAGCAAGCUUAAGCCGAUAGGUGUAGGCGUAGGGAAACCGAGUCUUAAUAGGGCGUUUUAGUUCGUUGGAUUAGACCCGAAACCGAGUGAUCUAGCCAUGAGCAGGUUGAAGGUGCGGUAACACGCACUGGAGGACCGAACCCACGAAUGUUGAAAAAUUCGGGGAUGACUUGUGGCUAGGGGUGAAAGGCCAAUCAAACUCGGAAAUAGCUGGUUCUCCGCGAAAUCUAUUUAGGUAGAGCGUCCUGUGAAUACUCCUGGGGGUAGAGCACUGGAUGGGCUAUGGGGGCUCACCGCCUUACUGAUCCUAACCAAACUCCGAAUACCAGGAAGUACUGCAGGGCAGACACACAGUGGGUGCUAACGUCCAUUGUGGAGAGGGAAACAACCCUGACCGCCAGUUAAGGUCCCUAAGUUAUGGCUAAGUGGGAAAGGAUGUAGAGAUCCCAAAACAACCAGGAUGUUGGCUUAGAAGCAGCCAUCAUUUAAAGAAAGCGUAACAGCUCACUGGUCUAAAUAAGGGUCUCCGCGCCGAAAAUGUACCGGGGCUCAAGCCAUACACCGAAACUGCGGGUGCACGUAAGUGCGCGGUAGCGGAGCGUUCUGUAAGCUGAUGAAGGUGGACCCGUGAGGGCUGCUGGAGGUAUCAGAAGUGCGAAUGCUGACAUGAGUAACGAUAAAGAGGGUGAGAGACCCUCUCGCCGAAAGUCCAAGGGUUCCUGCGCAACGCUAAUCGGCGCAGGGUUAGCCGGCCCCUAAGGCGAGGCCGAAAGGCGUAGUCGAUGGGAACGGGGUUAAUAUUCCCCGGCCAGUGGGUAGUGACGGAUGCCGUGUAUCGUAUCUCCUUAUUGGAUUGGAGAUGCGGUGAAGGUGUUCCUGGAAAUAGCUCCCACGCUAAGACCGUACCCGAAACCGACACAGGUGGACAGGUAGAGUAUACCAAGGCGCUUGAGAGAACUGUGCUGAAGGAACUCGGCAAAUUGCUCCCGUAAGUUCGCGAGAAGGGAGCCCAAUAUGAAGGCAACUUUGUAUUGGGGGCACAGAAUAGGGGGUUGCGACUGUUUAUCAAAAACACAGGGCUCUGCGAAGCCGCAAGGCGACGUAUAGGGUCUGACGCCUGCCCGGUGCUGGAAGGUUAAGAGGAGGUGUGCAAGCACCGAAUUGAAGCCCCAGUAAACGGCGGCCGUAACUAUAACGGUCCUAAGGUAGCGAAAUUCCUUGUCGGGUAAGUUCCGACCUGCACGAAUGGCGUAACGACUUCCCCGCUGUCUCCAGCACAGACUCAGUGAAAUUGAAUUCCCCGUGAAGAUGCGGGGUUCCUGCGGUCAGACGGAAAGACCCCGUGCACCUUUACUACAGCUUCACACUGGUAUUCGUGAUGACAUGUGUAGGAUAGGUGGUAGGCGUUGAAGCGUGAGCGCCAGCUCGCGUGGAGCCAUCCUUGAAAUACCACCCUUGUCCUCAUGGAUAUCUAACCGCGGUACUACAAUAUCCGGGACCGUGUGUGGCGGGUAGUUUGACUGGGGCGGUCGCCUCCCAAAUGGUAACGGAGGCGCCCAAAGGUUCCCUCAGACUGGUUGGCAAUCAGUCGUCGAGUGCAAUGGCACAAGGGAGCUUGACUGUGAGACUUACAAGUCGAACAGGGACGAAAGUCGGACAUAGUGAUCCUACCGUGGCAUGUGGAAGCGCGGUGGCUUAACGGCUAAAAGGUACUCCGGGGAUAACAGGCUUAUACCCCCCAAGAGUCCAUAUCGACGGGGGUGUUUGGCACCUCGAUGUCGGCUCAUCACAUCCUGGGGCUGAAGCAGGUCCCAAGGGUAUGGCUGUUCGCCAUUUAAAGUGGUACGCGAGCUGGGUUCAGAACGUCGUGAGACAGUUCGGCUC